rnacentral:rRNA from 1 species
UCGAACGGCAGCACGGACUUCGGUCUGGUGGCGAGUGGCGAACGGGUGAGUAAUAUAUCGGAACGUGCCCAGUCGUGGGGGAUAACGUAGUGAAAAUUACGCUAAUACCGCAUACGAUCUAAGGAUGAAAGCGGGGGAUCGCAAGACCUCGCGCGAUUGGAGCGGCCGAUAUCAGAUUAGGUAGUUGGUGAGGUAAAGGCUCACCAAGCCAACGAUCUGUAGCUGGUCUGAGAGGACGACCAGCCACACUGGAACUGAGACACGGUCCAGACUCCUACGGGAGGCAGCAGUGGGGAAUUUUGGACAAUGGACGCAAGUCUGAUCCAGCCAUUCCGCGUGCAGGACGAAGGCCUUCGGGUUGUAAACUGCUUUUGUACAGAACGAAAAGGUCUCUAUUAAUACUAGGGGCUCAUGACGGUACUGUAAGAAUAAGCACCGGCUAACUACGUGCCAGCAGCCGCGGUAAUACGUAGGGUGCAAGCGUUAAUCGGAAUUACUGGGCGUAAAGCGUGCGCAGGCGGUUAUAUAAGACAGAUGUGAAAUCCCCCGGGCUCAACCUGGGAACUGCAUUUGUGACUGUAUAGCUGGAGUGCGGCAGAGGGGGGAUGGAAUUCCGCGUGUAGCAGUGAAAUGCGUAGAUAUGCGGAGGAACACCGAUGGGCGAAGGCAAUCCCCUGGGCCUGCACUGACGCUCAUGCACGAAAGCGUGGGGAGCAAACAGGAUUAGAUACCC